AGGAUAAAACGCACAAUCGCGAGAUUUCCCCAACGGAGAUAGAGACAUUUUCGUCCAUUGCUGCGGCUUUUGUCUUCUGAAAAGUCACCUGAUACCGUGAUUAACACGCCAGGCCCAAUGUUUUUGCUCUUUUUUUGAUCCAUAAAGAAAGAUGACGCA
rnacentral:ncRNA from 10 species